CCUACGGGUGGCUGCAGUGGGGAAUAUUGGACAAUGGGCGAAAGCCUGAUCCAGCCAUGCCGCGUGUGUGAAGAAGGCCUUCGGGUUGUAAAGCACUUUCAGUGGGGAAGAAAGCCUUGGGGCUAAUACCCUCGAGGAAGGACAUCACCCACAGAAGAAGCACCGGCUAACUCCGUGCCAGCAGCCGCGGUAAUACGGGGGGUGCGAGCGUUAAUCGGAAUUACUGGGCGUAAAGCGCGCGUAGGCGGUCUGAUAAGCCGGUUGUGAAAGCCCCGGGCUCAACCUGGGAACGGCAUCCGGAACUGUCAGGCUAGAGUGCAGGAGAGGAAGGUAGAAUUCCCGGUGUAGCGGUGAAAUGCGUAGAGAUCGGGAGGAAUACCAGUGGCGAAGGCGGCCUUCUGGACUGACACUGACGCUGAGGUGCGAAAGCGUGGGUAGCAAACAGGAUUAGAUACCCCUGUAGUC
rnacentral:rRNA from 1 species